GGUCGGGUAGGUCUCACCUGUCCGUACCCGGUGGUGAGGAGGUCGCUCCGUGCGCCAGCCGCCGCCAGUCAUCCACCAGACGCCGAGCCGACAUGAGGUGCCUACUGCCGCUGAUCGUUCUUCUGGGCGCCGUCCAGGCAGUGCCGUUCUUCAAGUUCCGUUUCGGUCCGGAACACCGCAGUGAUGAGCUGGGUCCCAAGCUGCCGCCGGAGCCGUUCCCGCAGCGCGUGCCGGACGAGUCGGCGGCCGUGUUCGCCCUCCAGCUGCCAAAGCUCGACCUCUCCGACCUCUUCAGGCCGCUGCGGGUGUUCGCAGGUGUGAACGUGGACCAUCCGUCUGGUAUCGCCGUGCGGGAGGAGGAGCCCAACUGCGACCUGGGCAAGUUCGACCUCGCCGACGACGAGUUCGACAUCGUCAUGGACUGUCAGAAGGCCUCCGGCGGCGACGACGUGGAGCUCAAAGAGUGCAUCCUGACCAAGCUGCCCAAGACCGCUGUUGAGCUGAGGGACUUCCUUGACAGGGAAGAGUUCGGUGUUGCUGGUCUCAGCUCUUCUUUCCAUCUGUCUCUGCUGAACGGAGAGUUCACCCAGAAGAGGAGCGUCCAGUUCCGACUGUGUCCGCGGGACGAGGUGAACAGUAUCGACGGACCCGUGGUGCCCGUCGUGGAACAGGUGGUGCCCGUUGUGGAAGAAGUGGUGCCCAUGGUGGAGGAGAUGGUGCCCAUUGAGGCUCUCAGCCCGGACCGCAUCGAUGAAUCAGCGCCGUCCGCGCCGGGAGCCGUUCUUCCUCCACAGCGGCCGCUCUUCCAGUUCCCUGAGCUGAAGCUGCCCAACUUCGGCCAGAUCUUCACCGAGGCGUUCGCGCCGGUGUUCGGUCCGCGUCCCGGCACUGAGGAGGAGGACGCCGGCCUGGGUCUGUUCGGCUCGCACCUAAACCCAUUCGCGGUGCGCCACCCGCCGGCCGUCACCGGUCCGCAGCACGGGUUCUUUGCCUCGCUGUUCCCGGCGCUGGCCGCCACGCCGCCGCCGCAGGGACCGCCCGACGGCAUUGACAUGGACAACUGCGACAGCCAGAAGUUUGACGUGUCCCGCUUUGUCUUCAACGUCGCCAACCGUUGUCAGUACGCUAACGACUACAGGAAGUGCCUCCGCCUGGAUUUGGCCGGCGACAAGAGCGCCCAGGAGCUGCUGGACUUCGCCACCGACACCGACUACAGCGUGGUCGCCUCCAGCUUCUCUUCGUUCCAGACCACCUUCGACCUGGAGUCGCUCCACGACGGAAAGGGUCUGCUGGACCUGAAGCGGAAGAACCAGAUCGACCUGCGCCGCUGCGCUAACAUCGUGAAGGAGGUGACCACCGAGGUUCCCAUCGAGGAGGCCACCACUGAGGCUGAACCCGUCGCCGAGGAGGUCACUCCUGAGGUUGUCACUGAGGUCAUCGAAGAGCUCGUCCCUGACGUCGCGGAGGUCAUCCCGGAGGGCACCCUUGACAUUGUAUCCGAGGAGAUCCCCGUUGUCAUCGAGGAGUAUCCUUCGGAGCUGGCUCCCGGUGUCGAGGUUACCCCUGAGGUAGCUCCGGAAGAGCCUCAGGCGACCACCGAGGUCUUCGAGACGGUCCCGGAGGUUGUCGAGGCCGUGGACGCUGAGAAGGAGGCUGUAGAGGCCAAGAAGGCUGCCGAACCUGAAGAGCCGGUGGUUGUGGCUGAGAAGCCAGUAGAGUCUGAGAAGCCUGUGGAGACUGAGAAGCCUCAGGAAGCUGAGCCUGUGACUGAGGUGGCUGUGGAGACCGAGAAGGUGGCUGUGGAGACCGAGAAGGCCCCUGACAGCGUGGAGACGCCAGUCGAGGUGUCCCAGCCGGUGGAGUUCGAGGGAAACGUCGAGGCCGGCCCUAAAUAUGAUCUUGCCGAGCCAUAAACACUUCGACGUUCGUGCUUGGAUGGUCUGAAGAUUGACGUCAGGAAACCACUGAGUCGGCUUUAUACAAGUUCCGUCCAUUCUUGUCUGUAUAUUUUCGUGGCAUCUAAACUCUAAAGGAUAAAGUUUUGAUGCAUUCUUUUUACCCACUUGAGGCUUUUACAGUUGGCUAUAUGUGAUGCAUUUUGAUGUUUGGAUCACAUCAUGUUCAAAUGCAUUUCAGAUCGUAGAUAUGUAGUAAAUGUACUAUUUAUCGGAGUGGAAGAGGCCUUGUUAUUCGUUAUUGGCUGGUUUUGAGCGCUGUUAGUAGGCUGCAAGGAAGGAACGCCUUAGCGUCACAUAGGUACAGGUGACUUUAAUCGAGCAUUUGGCGCUAAUUGCUUGCGAUGAGCUGUCACUACGUAUUGCAGAUUGAACUUUCAUUUCAUUGGCGAUCACGUUCCGACUGAAAUCGCAUCCUACAAUGUGUAAUGUUUUAUGUUACGCUGGUGUUCAUAGUACGCUAUUUAUCUUCAUUGUAUCUCAGUAUGGUUAGAUGUGAGACGUUUUUUUAGAAAUGUGCAUUGGAGUACACGUAUUUUGCAGCUGUGAAAUACUUUUGAAUACAAUCCGAUGUUUAGU
rnacentral:misc_RNA from 1 species